UGGUCAGCUCCUCUAAAAUGAAUCAGCUUGCCAGUGUUUGGUGGGCAUCACAGGUGUGAUAACUAUCUACGCUUGUGGUUUUCCCACCAGGUAACCUUCAGCAGUGGAGGUUCACUGGAGCUCACAGAUGUCUCUCCUCAGUGAGGACAGCCCUUUGAAUGUUUGAUCUCAAAUCAGGUAGGACUACCCGCUGAACUUAA
rnacentral:misc_RNA from 1 species